rnacentral:lncRNA from 1 species
ACAAAUACAAAACAAAAAAAACUGAUACAAUGACAGAAAUACACACCAAUUCGAAGUAGGAAACUACUUCAACAAGUAUUGCUUCCCAUCCAGAAAUAGAUCUGCAAUCUCAAAAAACUAAGCCAAGAAACUUGACAAAAUAAAAAAAUCUAUUAAUAAAUUUACCCAACCUUGGAUCCCAAGAAGAUGACGCGUGUUAUUUGAUGUCGGUAUACUCCAAUUACUUCAUAUCGAAUGCUUUUUGUUACUCCCAAAGAGAUGAAGAUAUUAUGUGCUUAUUCGAAAUCUGGUGUUGAGAAAACAAACAAACACUGUUUGAGUAAUGUACAUAAAGAAAUAAUCUUAAGAGUACAAGAGAAAUCAAUACCUUUGAAAGAGUCUUCCAAAACCAUAGAUGUUGAAGAUGUAACCCACUUCGGCUCCAAACUCCCAAUUCCUCUAAGUUUUCCUUCAGAAGUUGAAGCCGACGGAUGAUGCAGGUGAAACACAGGAGGCGACGACUUCUAAUCAGAUGUGAGAAUCAACAACGAUCAACUGAAAAGAGUGUAUGUAGUGUUGUCGAUGUCGAUGGAGUUCUAGGCAUGGAUGAAAGAAAUGAGAAAUCGACGGGUCAACUAUAGAAAUCGGCGCUGCUAAGGGCUUUGAGUGAAUAAUGGGUUUGAAACACAUGACAAGUGAAAUUGAAAGAUAUAGGCGAUGGAAGAUUUGUGGCAAGCAUCUACGAAGUUGUGAAAGAUUCGUAGAAAGCAUCUAUUGAAGAAAGUUACUAUUCAUA